CACAGGGUUUACCUCUCUUACAGAAACCUCUUGAGCUUUCAGUUUUUAAUUGGUGAAAUUUUUACUCUGUCCAACUCUACAAAGCAUUAUAUAUAUUUUUUGAGAAGACCAUUACUGUUUUAAUGUUGGUAUAAAAAACAAGUUCCCAGCCUCCUCCAGCAACACCUGCUGUCAACAGAGAAUGGAGCACCUGCAGAGAGCACCUAAAAACACGUGGUUCCUUGUUCUGAAUAAUCUAGAAUGGGAUCCCCUUCUCUGAUUAUUCUAGUCUAGCAACAAGCUGACUAAAUGUGGUAAGCAAUUGUAGAAUUGCUCAGGUUGAAAAAGACCUUCAAGACCAUCAAGUCCAACCACAAUAUUGAGCUCUAAAAGUGCUUUGUUCAUAUUUCAUGACAGUUGACUUCAAAAACUGUUUGGUGAACUUCCCUAAGGAAAAAAAAACAAAACAAAACUGAGCCAAUUGUUCUUUAAGACUUAGCAUGGAAAUGUUUGUAGGAAGUCUGAAUAAAAUGCAGUUCAGGCCCAAUUUUUGCCCAGUAUGUUUGUGUGAAACAGCAAUCUGAAUUCAGACACAUGUACUUCCCAUCAGAUUGGGCUUUUAGAAAUUAACACAAGGAAUAAUCCCAUGUUACAGAAUGGAUUUUAAUUUUCCCUGCAAUUAAAGUGGUUCUGCUUUACAUCGGAGCAAAAACUAAGCUUUGGCAAUGUAGUGAAACAGUAGAGAAUGCUCCUCAAAUUAGUUACAGAAAUUGAAUGCCAGGGCAAAUUAGAAAGAGGCAGGAGGGGGUGAAAUAUUUUAUUUUAAAAAUACUCUGUAAAGACGAAGAGGCAGUAAAUUAAUAAGUGAGCUUUCACAGUUAUUCAUGGAAACACGUUUGAAAAAAAAACGUGGGGUUGGUUUGUUUAUAAUUUGGCAGAAUUUUCCAGUGUUUUGUCAGUUUUUCACAGGCCUCCGUGCAUAGGGCUCAUUGGGAGGAUCACCAGAAAUCCUUGAGGAAGACUUCAGAAAGGAUGAACCAAACAUGGAGGAAUGCAGCUGAAAUGGCAGUGGAAGGCAACAGACUCAAAACCAGGCGUUUCUUUUGAAAAUCCUUCCAUCUCAAAGGCAAAACGCAAAGUGGCGUGACCUCAAAAACAGUAGACAGAUCAUUGCUGUUGUUUUUAAUGUUUUGGGAUCCCCUGCUUCCCCAUUCCACACGAGUCACCACAAUUGAUGUCAGUUUCUCCUGUAAGAGGAUGGAAAAUGAAACAAAUCUCAUCUCACUUAGAACAGAAGAAAGAGGAGGAGGAGAAAGUAGAGGAAGCAGACACUGCUAGAGAAGAGGAGGAAAAAGGUCCAGAGGAGUGGCUCUGAGGUCCAGGGCAUCCAGAGGGAGAGCUGAGAUCCCCAAUAAGAUCGUGGUCACCAGCGCCCAGGAGGGUAACAAGAAGUCCUGAAAGAGAAGGAGCUGAGCAAGAUACCGUCACCAUUACUGAUUGAUCUCUGAAAAUGAAUUAAAUUUGAGGUCUGAGAAAAGAAUUUUCAUGCCACCCAAAUGAGCCUAUUGUCACCUGGUUACUUCGAUGCUGGGACAACAGUGUGUGGCUAGAUAGUAGAGAAGCUUGCCAACUGGGUGGCAUUGCUAGGGACUCAGCCAUUGACAAAGGUAUUAGUACAUGCCAGAGCCAGGUCUUUACCCUCUGGAAGCAGAUGCUGUUAGCUGUAAAAGAAAGAUACCCCUUCAAAGACGAUCUGAUGCCUGAGAAAAAGAAAUGGACUCAUAUGGAAGAAGGCAUUCAUUAUUUGAGUGAAUAUGCUUGGUGGAAAUGUUACACAGCCCCACUUUCAUUCCUGAUGAACCAGCCCAUAAACUGUCAACAAGGGCCUGAGUAUUUAUCAGUGGUACCAGCAGUUGUUAAUAGACCACAGACAAAGGGGUCUCAAAGACCUGAAUGCAGAGUGAUAGAAAGUCAUUUUUUCAUGAAGUUUGGACAAGGUAGGUAGCACAGUGAGAGCAAUUAUGUCAGAUCCUCCCAUGGCGAGGUGAGCUGUAAGGUAGGCUUGUAAUGUCAUUAAGAAACUGUAAGGAGCUGAAAGUUAAAGAUCCUGUGAUACAUCUAUAUAAGGUUACAUGUAUUUCUCUGUGACAACCUCAGAGUCGGUUCUUAAAAACUUUUGGUUUGUUUUAUCUAUUUAAUCUCUGUAGUCAGCUCACCUCUGUAUUUCCACUCUUCCUACUGGAAAGGAAGUGAUGUCAUCAAAUCUAUCUGCUUUAGUUAACAUCACUUAUAUUGGAAGGUGCUAGAGAUCCUUUGAGUGUACAAAAUGGGUUUGGAAUGUCUUUUGAAAUUUUUGCUGUUAAUUCUGUUUGCAACAUACAUAUGUUGGAGCAACAGAGAUUUUCUCUUGUUGUCUGGCACUCAUUGUCACAUGAAGGGAGAUGUACACCUUGUGGACAACUAAAAAACUAUCUGAAAAAAGUGUAAGACCUUUAAAAUUUUCUGUUAAGUGUUGGUCCAAGACAGAGGUAUUUGUUAGUUUCUGCACUCAGUGAGAAGUGUGAAAUAACCUCUCCCCAGUGUCAGGAGAAAUCAUGACUGGAAAAACUGGAGGACCAAGUAAAGGUCUUGUUUUCUCUUCCCAGCCUCCCUGCUUCUCUUAACAAGCACUUUUUAAGUGCAGAAGUAUGGCUAAUAAUAAAAAAUGUAAAUAAUCCCUUGGUUCAGACACUGCUCUUCCAAUGGCAGCUGGAGAUGCUACUCCUCAGUCCAGCUCUUACUCCUCAAUCUGUCUAUCUCCUAGGGUAAUUGUGAAGACGAAGGAAAUUCCAAAUGUAUUUUUUUUUCCUAAAAACAAAUGGGGAAAGUAAACUGAUGAGCUUUUCAAAAAUGAAUGCCAUUCUUUUAGUUUAUGAAACACUUUUUUUUCCUACUAUUUUCCAGAAUAUAUUAUGUCAUUUACACUACCAUGGUUACAGGAGGAGGGAGAAGGUUUCUGUAGUCUUUCAGUCACUCAUUGCUAAGAAAACCAUGUAUUAUUGAUCUGCUUUCAUUUUAACGAGAAGAGUAUGGAAAUAUAAGAAUAAGAAAACUUGUGUUUCUUUCCAAAUGCAUUAUUAUUUUAGGGUCGGAAGUAUAAACAUAAUGGAUUUGUAGAAUUCUGAUGAUCAUUUUUUGCCGUCCACAAUUUGUAAAGCUUGAGCCUUGCAUAUGGCAUAAUGAAGUUCAUGUCCCAUUAAAGGUUGGUGCUUUAUUGAAAUACCUGGAAGAAUCCUGUUUGUAAUGGUCAUUCCCUGUCUUUAUACGAAGAUUCUGAGAACAUCUUUUAAGAUGAGAUUUCAGGAAGGGGAAAUUUGUUAAUACAUUCACUCCUGCCUGACAAAUGAGCAUUAUCAUCAAUGUGGG
ensembl:lncRNA